UUAUAUUUAGUCUUUUGGAGAUGCUCUAAUAAGCAACUUAACCUGAAUGUUUAAUCGACUCCCCCGGGCCGAGUAGAGGCGCCGGAGUCGUUUACCCCCAGGCCGCCGAUCCACCUAGUUCCCCAAUUAGGCCCACUUAAACGUGUCCUGUUUCUCGUUUCCACGGCAUCCGCACGCCGCCGGCGAGGAUAGCGGGCGGCACACCCCGCCGGCGAGCGGACGAGCGGCGAGAACCUCGGCUCACAGAAGGAAAGGGUACGAGGAGAGGCGGCCGGUAAGAAGAUGGGGUCGGCGUUGCUGCCGACGCUGCGGCUGAAGCGGGAGGUGGACGCCGCCAUCCGCGACACCCUCGACAAGGUCCUCGUCCUUCGAUUCGGCCGCACCGCCGACGCUGCCUGCCUCCACUUAGACGACAUCCUUGUUAAAUCGUCGUGGGACAUAUCCAAGUUUGCUUCAAUAGCAUUGGUUGAUAUGGAUUCUGAGGAGAUUCAAGUUUACAUUGAUUAUUUUGAUAUUACAUUGGUUCCAGCAGCCAUAUUUUUCUUCAAUGCCCAUCACAUGAAAAUGGAUUCAGGGACACCUGAUCACACAAAGUGGAUAGGCUCUUUUAGCAGCAAGCAAGACUUCAUUGAUGUAGUUGAGGUGAGUAUACCACUAGUUUUUUAUCCACACUAUGAUUUAUCAGCUUCUUCAGGUAUUGUGUGACUUGAAUUUGUUUUCUUUGAGAAAGCUCUGAAAGUAUUUGAAGUAAACUUGUUCUUGGAGAAUGAAGUAACUUGUGAUGCCACUCUUUUGAUCAGUUUGCCCCUGCUUUAUUUAUGAUACACCUGUAACCAUAAUAUUUAAAUGAUUUCAUAUCUGUUCUUGGAUUCCCUGGUCAAUAUUCUCUUCCACUUGACUAUUGGAAUAUGCUAUUGUCUGUAGUAAGUUAGCUUCCUGUAUGGCUGUAUCACUUUUCUUCUAUGAAGUCUGAUCUUUCGAAGAAAUGUAGAGUAUCUCUUUCUGAAAAAUGGAAAAGGGGAGUAGUCCUCUAGUCUGUCAGGAAAACCUUCCCGACCUAUGGCCAGGGGUUUGUCUAGGGCCCCUGAAGCUGGAGCAGGAUCGGUGCCCAUGAUAUGCGAGGAGCGCACAGGGAGUUGGGAGCUCCUGGUACAUUGCAGGAAUCCAUUGUUCCAGCUCACCCAUCUCCAGAAGGUUACCGGCCAUGCGGAAGGUCACCAGCCCUGGCAGUGGUCGGAACCUCGAAAUAGUGGACAGCCCCCCUCAUCUUUCCACUCUGGUCACCAGGUGGGGAUGUCAGGCAAUUUUUAGAGGUGCGAUGAAAGGUAAAUUGAUAGUGUCUUGCCCCCUUCCACCUGAGAGGAUACCUAGAUUCCAGCUUCUUUUCAAGGAUGUCUGAGGAAACGAUAGCCCGUUAGCUCUCACAUGCUUAAUCAUUGUGUUCGUCAUUGUAUAGAAAGAAAAUGUUUUACUUUAGUAUACACAACCAGCUACCUAGCUCAUGUACUGUUUCUUUUAACUACCUAGCUCAUGUAUUAUUUCUCUUUCUACGGCAUCAUAGAGUCAUAUGGCAGAUGUUCUGCCAAAGGAUAUGGAUCUGUCCAUGGACAGCUGAAGUUUGUGAAGAAUAAUCAAGAGCCAGUACCCGUAAAGAUAUCUUGCAUCUCACUUCCUUAAAAUUCAGAUAUGAGAUCUUGAUUCACCA